GGCAGCAGUGAUGAGUUCUUUCAGACCUGUAAUGAUUCUUGCGGAAAUGAUCGCAUUCAAAGAACAUCUAAGGGGCUGAGUUGUC